GACGAACGCUGGCGGCGUGCUUAACACAUGCCAGUCGAACGGAAAGGCCCUGCUUGCAGGGUACUCGAGUGGCGAACGGGCGAGUAACACGUGGGUGAUCUGCCCUGCACUUCGGGAUAAGCCUGGGAAACUGGGUCUAAUACCGGAUAGGAGCCAUUUUUAGUGUGAUGGUUGGAAAGUUUUUUCGGUGUAGGAUGAGCUCGCGGCCUAUCAGCUUGUUGGUGGGGUAAUGGCCUACCAAGGCGGCGACGGGUAGCCGGCCUGAGAGGGUGGACGGCCACAUUGGGACUGAGAUACGGCCCAGACUCCUACGGGAGGCAGCAGUGGGGAAUAUUGCACAAUGGGCGCAAGCCUGAUGCAGCGACGCCGCGUGGGGGAUGACGGCCUUCGGGUUGGAAACUCCUUUCGCUAGGGACGAAGCUUUUUGUGACGGUACCUAGAGAAGAAGCACCGGCUAACUACGUG
rnacentral:rRNA from 1 species